GUGUGUAAUGCAUUGUGUGUUUUUCUGUGUGCAAGGGGUUCAUUGUCUUUGUGUGUAAGGGGUGCAUUGUGUGUGAUUGUGUGUGUGUGUGUGAUGGAUGUCAAUCUCUCCCCCCUCCCUUGUCACUCUCUUCCCCCCCCUCCCUUGUUACUCUCAUUCCCCCUCCCUCCCCUGUCACUCCCCCCUCCCUGUCAAUUUCUCUCUCCCCGUCAAUUCCCCCGUCAGUUUCUUUCUCCCCCCCCUCAACUGUCAGUUUCUUU